rnacentral:lncRNA from 1 species
GUAUAGAGUUUGUGGACAAAAGUUAUGUUACAGCGCUUGAAAACUUUUUGUUUAUAGCAAUGCCAGGAAAAGUAGAACCCAGCCUUGAAAACAACACCAAGAUAAUGAAUUACCCAACUUCAUUGGGAAAUCACAGUGGCCAAGAUACAGCCUAUUCAUCUCACUCCAUUCCUCCCAAUUUUGAUAUGCCAAAACUAGCAGAAGCCAGCCUGGAAAACAACCCUGAGACAAUGAAUUAUCAAAAUUUGUUGGGAAAUGAUAGUGGCCACUAUUCUUCCUCUUCAUCUGUCUACCCUCCUACUAAAUUUGAAGUUGAAAAGUUUAUACUUAUAGAAAUUCCAGCACAAGCAGAAGGCAACUCUCAGACAAUGUAUUAUCCAGCUUUACUGGGAAAUAUCCAUGCCCCAGGUACUGCGACUUCAUCUCUUCCCGGCACUUCUAAUUUUGGUGAGUUUGAAAUGAUACAUAUUAUAAGCAACACUGUUUAAUCUAGAUUC